UGCCACCUGGAACCACAGGGAGGGAUCCCUUACCAGAAGCCAAGCAGGGGAAAGCUGCUUGGCUGUGGUCUCAGGAGUAACUCUGGGAGUCCCUGGGGUCUUCCAGUGGAAAAUCUUGGCACCCUAAGGAAGAGCUGCAUACUUCAGUUUCCCCAAAUUCAGCUGGGGACCAAGAAGACUCUGGCCCUGGACAAUGACACACACUCCUUUCCCAUUUACUCUAUCUCCACAGCAGCAGCAGCAACUAUGGCUUGAACUACGAGCUGCGCCGAGAAGACGCCCCCUGCAGGUGCGUGCACCUGACCCAUGUCCCCAGGGGAGCCCAUGGGGCUGGGGGGCCUUACUCCUCCUCUGUCCUGUCCCUGUAGAGUGUAUGGAUGCCAGGGGAUCCCCCCACUCAUCAACCAAGUGCCUGGCAAUCUCCGAAGGACUUUCAUGGGUCUGGGGGUCAAGAGCAGCUGCAGCCCCUACAAGUCCUCUAGGAGCAGAUACCUGCCCCCCGAGCAGGUCAAGCUGCGGACCGAGGAGCUACACUCCAUCCAGGGGGAGCUCAGCCAGAUCAAAGCCCAGGUGGACAGGCUGUUGGAGAGUCUGGAGCACAUGGACCACAACAGGGCCCAGGCUGCAGGUCAGGCCCCAAGGGAGGGCCCAGGGC
rnacentral:lncRNA from 1 species